CGAAAGUAAUUAGCAGAUUUUGUAAGACAUCAUCUUCCUGGUUUUACCGAUGCUGAGCACCAGAAAACACUACUGGACACAAGCAGUGGCACCGAGGUGGCUGGUCAAGCAGCUCAGACCUCUACAAGGGCCUCUGGAGGCAGAAGGGCAGUGAGGACUGGUACCAGUGGAGGGGCCUGAGAAGGUGCUCAGGGUUUGUAUUUUCUGCAGCCCACGAUUCUCCUGGAGAGCUGAAAGUGAAAAACAGGGACACCCACAGAGCCCAUAGGUGCCCAGCAAGAUCAACAAAAGAUGCCUUCAGGGAACUGGUGGUCCUGCUCUCAAGUCUAAUGAGACUCGAGCUGCCUCUCAGGGAAAGCGAGCGAUGAGAUGUGGCUCCAACACGAUUCUCUUCCCCUCACCUCACGCUGACCAACAGUAGGGGUGAUGCCCUGAAAGUAAAUUGUGAGUUUAAACCAUUAAGACCCUAUCACCUGGGUCUUGGUGAGACUUUUA
rnacentral:lncRNA from 1 species